GCCCAGCUCGCGCCCGACUUGUCCGCACGUGGCGCGCGCAGCUUCCGGCCGUGGACCGUGUAGUGUGGCGCUCCCAUCUAUACGGGGGGAAAAAAACCCACCUACAAAGUUCUGUAAUGUAUUCGUACGGUUUAAGGCGAUUUUAAAUGACCCCAGAGCUGCGCCGACGCGAUGGUGUAGCCAAAUCUCAUGUAUUCCCCCAAAGCUGCGGUUGAUGAAUUUCUUAUGAGCGUGUGUCGGCCUUCACUACGCGAAGAAGAAGGCGAUUUUCGGAAAAGAAGCAAGGGACUUUUUGUUUGACUGAUUCCUUUGGUGCCAGUGCUGUGAUUUUAUGGUAUACAGUGAAGCCUGCUCCAGUAGCCUGUCAACAGGAAGCACUGGGGAGUAGUGCGAGGUUUACCCUGACUGGUGUUGGAUGGAGGACUCCCACAAUGUGUUCACUGGGACACCAGUACACACGGAAAUGUGCCCUGCUGGAGAAACAGGAGGUGAGUGGAGAUUCUGUGGAUUCUGAUGGCUUUUUGUUUUAGUGUCAAACUUUUACACUGAGUGGGCAGUUAAAAGGGAGUUAUUGCACUUUAAGAGAUUAGAGGUGACAAAGCUAAUUGUGACGGCGUAAGUCGAACAUGCACACCUCUUCUGACCUUUACUCAGGCUAUGAGAAGUAAGUGGCUCACAAGAAGAACCCCAUUAAAAAAUAAAUAGAGGUGCUUUAUGAAAAGGUCAGGACACAUGUUUCCGAAAAAAUGUAUUAAUCUCCCAGCCAAGAGCAAUAGACUUAAUUCUAAUUUGUAAAAGGGAAAAGGAGACGGGGUAAUAUAACAUGUUUGUUUCUGUUCAGGCACUUUUUCAAUAUCUCUUAUUUACAACAUGAGCUGUGUUUCUGUUCGGUAUGAGCAUAAAUAUCGAUAUGUGUCACUGUGCUCACUAUCCUUCAGCCAGGCCGCUUGAAGGCGGGUAAUGCUUGUGAUAUACCACAUUAUACCCUAGUUUAAUCGCUGCAGAUAGUGAGGAGUCUCACAGAGACUCUCCCUUCUGAGCUCUCGUGACUUGUUCUUUACCAAAUGCUGUCAAAUAAAUGGCAGCUGUACACAAGCGGCCAUCAUAGUGUCCAUCUCCCUCCCUAAUUCUUUCCAUGCUCUUCGCAGUCACAGAGGAAAUUCCUGGCUCACUAUUUCAAUUCAGGCCUUCUAUAUGAAUGCCAGUAAUGUGCUUUCAUUGAGUAGACUGUGCAUGUGUUGGAUUUUUUUUUUGUUGUUGUUAUUCUGAAUUACGAGUUCUAAAACCUCACUGCCUUCAAAAUCGCACGGCUGGACAAACAGGAGACUCAAGAAUGCCGUAAUGAAGACCAAGUUAUUCAUACACUUGUUGGUAUGUUGUUAUUUCAAAAUUUUAUACAAGGAAAAACUGAAAAUGUGACACAGUCAUGAAUUUGGUUUUCAUGUAAAAGCAGUCAUAUCCAUAAUAUUUAUUCAUAAUAUCUUUUUCUCACUUUCUAAACUUUUCUCAAUUUCUUUUCCUGCUUUACAGAGUGGCACUAAAGUUUGCCUUGUCAAUAAUAAUGUAUUAAAUCUACCCAUAUAAAGGAAAGAAGUUAUAGUCUGCAUCACACAUCCAAACCACCUUCUACUCUUAUCUGGGGGGGGGUGGUUGGAUGUGAUGCCAGUCACCUCAAUAUGCAUGUCUUUCUAUGUGCUAGGACUAUGUGAUUAUAUGACCUAAAACUGCAUGUACUGCGUGGUUAUUGUCUGUAUGUAAUGUAAUGCCUUCCAGGGACAGUACACGACUCUGCCAUGCAUGCUACUUGUUAGGUCACGUGACAUGUCGGUCACGCUUUAUUGGCUGGAAAGUUCAUGCACCUAAUCAGCAUCGGCUAAACACCAAAGGGACAGAAUGCUCUCCUUUCCACCCCGAGCUUCUCCUGGAGACCUCAGCCUUCGAGGUGAGGCGUGUAAAUCAUGUGCUGGACCGGGAAGGGUUGAGGCCCGUUGUCCGUUUUGAUUUUCCUGUCGCCUGUUGUAUAGGUGUUUGUAGCAGACAGGGCCAUUAUGAUAAAGUGAUUGGAUUCAGGGGGAAUUGCCUGUACUUUGGUAAUGAUGUAGAGCACCAUCCGUCAUGUUUACACCUCGAUGGGAGGUAAUAAAGCUGUGCGAUAUUGCUGCUUGUCAGAGUGGAUGUUCUGUGUCGGUACUGGGGACGGAGGGGAAAAAAACGGGGUUCUGUCAGUGCAUCGUCUGUGUGGUGAUUAUAUUUUACUCACAGUGAGCUUCAAACCGAAACCAUUUCAUAGUUUUCGACUGGAAAAUGCCUCAGGGAAUCUGAGAGAGAAAUAACAGGCAGUUCUGCAGAAGGAGGGGGAGGGUGGCCCCACCACACUUUCAGAAAGAUGACAUUUGUCCCCCCCCCCCAUCAAUUUAGUUCAAAACAGGACGUGGAGUCGAUGUAUCACAUCACAGCUCAUCUAAAACCACAUGGAAACAAUAUCUUGCAAUCUCCUGAAAAGGUUACAGAUGCUGUAUUUGCAACAAUAAAAAUUAAUUGGUUUUUCUGUU